AGUGAAAGGGAAUAGUCAGUUCCUUCCUACAAAUUCAUCAUGUGGUAUCUUUACAGAGGGAUUUUCUGUUUCAGGAAAAUAAUAAGGGUAGAGAAGGAAAUUGCUAAGGAUGACCUAGGUCAACACAGAGAAAGACUAUCCAGGUAUGUGCUAGUAAAAUAUGGGAGCAGGCUCUGCGAGGAAUAUUCUCAGCUUUAAUAGAUGGUGGAGUGUAGAUGAUUCUCGGUAAGUGUGCUCGCGACACUAAACUGGGGGUUUGGAUCGUAGCUUAAAAUAACAGAAUCACUUCAUAAAAAGUAUUUUCCUAAAGAAAGAAUACUUUGAGAAAUGUGAAUGGGAAGAAAGAAGUGUGGAGUCGGGCUAAUGUUUGCAGUAAUCCUUUUUAUUUAUUUUUUUCUUUCCUUACAGAAUAAAAUAUUCCUGUGGAUGGUCUUUCUAAGGGUCUCGGUUGUCUCGUUCCUUUCCCAGGAUUCUUGGACUAAAACACGAAAACAAACAAGCAAACAAAAGCUCGUCAGCUGGGUCCACUCUGUUAAACUGAGGUUGGAAGAGGUGAUCCAAGUUUCCAGAUGCGCUGUUAUGAAAAGGAAGAGGAAGGCGCCGAACCACACAUGCUCAGAUCCUUCUCCUAAACCUUCCGAGCCCCACCCUGCAACUUUCUAUCUUCUUCCUCUUUAGGCUUCUGACACUACUCCUCAAGAUUCUUGACCCUGAAGAAUGAUGGAUACCGUAAAGAAUUAUUUGGAAAAUUCUAUUCUAAGAAAUAAUAUCAUAUGUUUGUGGUCCUAAUAACUGUGAGAAGUUUGGACACAAGGAGUCUCUGGGGAGUGUGAUGUGGGAAGUGCCAACAAUUUGUUGCUCCAAGAACCUGCAUUUGUACCCUUCUGCCUAUUGUUAUUUGGCAUUUCCACCUUGGAAUCACUUCUUUGGGCUACAGCAUGAUUCCUGAGGCCCCAAAAGGAAACAAAACAACACAAAACAAAAACUUUCUCUGAGACGAUCACCAUGGUCCUCUGGAAUCCAUCAUUAAAUGCUGACUGGGGAUUUUUCCAUAAGGAUACAGAGCUAGGAUAAGCCAGUUCCACCAGCAAAGCUGAGUGUAGAUGAAAAGCCCGUUUUAGGUUAUGACUUUGUGAGGUCAGACAUUGGACAGAGAGAUGUCAAGUCGAGAGGCAUGAGAACAUGGCUGAGAGAGGAGACAACAGACUACACAGUCUACACAGCAGACUCUGCAGCUCUGGGUAACCAUAUGGCAAAAGAAGAAUCCAGCAUUUCUACUAGUGAAGAAAUGAAAGACAACUGGCAUAAAGAAAAGAAAGAUGGUUGGGGUACCCAGGUGGCCCUGCAUGGGGCGCUGUGCUGACAGCUCAGAGCCUGGAGCCUGCUCCGGAUUCUGUCUCUCUCUCGCGCUCUCUCUCUCCCUUUCAAAAAUAAAAUAAAUAUAAAAAAAAAAAAAGAAAAAAAA
rnacentral:lncRNA from 1 species